rnacentral:lncRNA from 1 species
ACGAGGAUAGUGAGGGUAUGGUUGUGCACCGAGAGGAAGGGCGUGUAACUACACCGUGGAUGAAGAUGAGGAAGAAAAAAAAGCAAGAAGAUGGAGUAUGAUUCUUGAUGUUUCAUUUGUUUGUGUGAACUUAUUUGUCAUGAAUUUGCUUCUGGUAGAUGAUUUUGAACUAUGUCAUGAAUUUGAACUAUGCUAUAUUGAAACUCAUCAUUUUGCAAAA